CCUACGGGGGGCAGCAGUGGGGGAUAUUGCACAAUGGGGGGAACCCUGAUGCAGCGACGCCGCGUGGGUGAAGGAGUGCUUCGGCAUGUAAAGCCCUAUCGGCAGGGAAGAAGCAAGACGGUACCUGACUAAGAAGCCCCGGCUAACUACGUGCCAGCAGCCGCGGUAAUACGUAGGGGGCGAGCGUUAUUCGGAUUCACUGGGUGGAAAGGGAGCGUAGACGGCCAUGCAAGCCAGGGGUGAAAGCCCGGGGCGCAACCCCGGGACCGCACUUGGAACUGCAUGGGUGGGGUGCGGGGGGGGCAGGCGGAAUUCCUGGUGUAGCGGGGAAAGGGGUAGAUAUCAGGAGGAACACCGGCGGCGAAGGCGGCCUGCUGGACCGCGACUGACGUUGAGGCUCGAAAGCGUGGGGAGCGAACAGGAUUAGAUACCCGUGUAGUC
rnacentral:rRNA from 1 species